rnacentral:rRNA from 1 species
CCUACGGGAGGCAGCAGUGAGGAAUAUUGGUCAAUGGACGAGAGUCUGAACCAGCCAAGUAGCGUGAAGGAUGACUGCCCUAUGGGUUGUAAACUUCUUUUAUAUGGGAAUAAAAUGUUCCACGUGUGGGUUUUUGUAUGUACCAUAUGAAUAAGGAUCGGCUAACUCCGUGCCAGCAGCCACGGUAAUACGGAGGAUCCGAGCGUUAUCCGGAUUUAUUGGGUUUAAAGGGAGCGUAGGUGGAUUGUUAAGUCAGUUGUGAAAGUUUGCGGCUCAACCGUAAAAUUGCAGUUGAAACUGGCAGUCUUGAGUACAGUAGAGGUGGGCGGAAUUCGUGGUGUAGCGGUGAAAUGCUUAGAUAUCACGAAGAACUCCGAUUGCGAAGGCAGCUCACUAGACUGCAACUGACACUGAUGCUCGAAAGUGUGGGUAUCAAACAGGAUUAGAUACCCGUGUAGUC